rnacentral:tRNA from 1 species
CAAAGCGUGGCUGAAUUAGUAAAGCAUCUCCCUUACACUGAGAAAUUACCUGUGCAAACCAGGUCGCCUUGA